CGUCGCCAAGGCACGCUUCCCAGAAGCUUUGCAUGUUUCCUCCCGCCUCUCAAGCACUUGCAAGCCAAAGUGUCCUGAUUGGAACACGAUCGACCACAAGUUGACUCUUCUACUGUCCUGCAGGCAUUGGGAAUGUGAAAAGCUCACAACGACAGAUGAAGGAUUGACGUGAGAGAGCCCGGCAACUCGGGCCUUGGGUGACCUCGUCCUUCAGCUGCUUCACUGAGGAGAAAGAUACAAAAUCUUCAUCAAGAGGGUUUGUCUUUCAAUGUUGUCCAACCUUUGGGGUGCCAUGUCCAGUCGGAUCACCUUUUAUAAUGGUGCCUGUUAGGUUUGAAGAAGUGCUCUUAAUUGAAAGAUGUUUCCUCAUAGGUAGAAGCGUGUCAGUUACACCAGUGGUCCCCAACCUUUUUUGCGCGACGGACCGGUUACAUGUCAGAAAUAUUUUUGCGGACCGGCAUUUAUAUAAAUAAAUAAUACAUUUAUGUAAAUAAAUAAAUAAUACAUUUAUAAUAAAUAUACAAAUACGAUGAAAUAAAAUGAUACGACUGACAAAAACAAGUACAAAUGACAAAAAUAAAACUCACCAUUACGUUGAAUUACUGGGAGCACUGAGUUUGUUUCUCAGAAACGAGCCGGUCCCAUCUAGACGUAAUCGGAGACAAUGACACCCGAAGUGAUUAAGGUUUGUCUUUUAUUGCAGGAUGCUUGGUCUCCAUGUGUUGAAGCAGUUUUGAGUGCUUCAUUGCCUGGUUAGUUAGCCUGUCGCCACAUAUUACCUUUGCGGGCUCGACUGGGGAAACAUGUCACGUGACCGGGACGAGUGUCUUGACCUGAAUUAAUUGAUCGUCGAUAAAAAAUAAAAAAAAAUUCUGUGCGGCUUGGCGGCCCGGUAGCAAGUGACCCACGGACCGGUACCGGUCCGCGGCCCGGUGGUUGGGGACCACUGAGUUACACAAUCUACACGUACAGACACUCUCAGGGGACCUGACCAACAUCCACAGCCUCUGGGAACAACAAACACAAGUUACACAAUCUGGGUGAGUAAAAAACUGUGGUGGUGUUUGCGAGGUGUCAGAUUGCUCUUUUUGUUCCAUGAAUUACAUUUAAAAAAACAUCCCAGACAGGGACUCAUGUUGAUGUCGUGUCAUGAACAUUGAAUUACAUAAGGCGCUCGGGCGCGGUCCCACGGGAAUGCCAACGGAUUGUCACAGUGAUCAAAACCAACUUUUUUAAAGGUGUCACUUUACUUUGAGGGGACUGUGACAUAAUCAUCUGUUUGUUGCUUUUGUGAGGAGACCAUGACAAAAAAUUAACUUGAGGUCAUGCAAUCUGCAAAAUAAAAAUAAACCUAACAACCAACUCAAUAUUGAAUGAAUGGUGACAAUUUGUAGAAGCUGCAGUGGGUGCUCGGGCUUCUUCCCACAUCCCCACAAUGUGUUUUAAUUGAAGACUCUCAAUUGCCCAUAUUUGCUGGAAUGGGUUUGGAGAACAAAAAAAAAGGGUAUGGCUUGAAAAGAUCUGUAUGGAUGUAGUGUGGCCUUGGGCGUGGGUAGUGAACAAUAUGGAAGAACUGCAAAAGCAGAGCUCGUCCUCACUUUGAAAGCCAUAUGCGCACAAUGUCCGGGUCGUUAUAGAUUCUACACGUCUGCUAACAUUUGCCUGCUCAAAAAUGUCCAGGAACUGCAGUGUGUAGAUUUUCAAUUUGACUGUACCAAAUCCGUGAGGCAAAUUGAUUUAUGUUUGCUGCAGAGCGCAACUCGGGAGAUUAAAACGUUUUGGAUGAGUCCAGCCGUGUUUCAUUGUUUCUCAUUGCAGAUCAAGCAAGCUGGUUUAUGACAGAGCAAGAAUUUGUCUGGCAAGUUUGCUUACACCAGCCCAGAAUAUUUACAGCUGUUUGGACAUGUCUUAAAAUGCAAUAGUGCCACUGAUUCAAAUCUCAGUCCGAUAAAUAAGAUUCCUCAAUGAAUUGAUUCAUGUAUGUCCUCAGGGACCUUUUCACCUUCGGGUGUUAGGCACCAACAAAGCUGUCAAUCAAGGCUGAGGUAUGAAUUGGCAAGCCUCCUUGAGCUAAUUGCAUGUGGGCGACUCAGUUCCCAGCCAUGACACAGACAGCUCGAAACAGAAAGAACUCCCGCGUUGUGGGGUUGACCGAUUGUUCAGUAUGAGGCCUUCUU